UACAGAGGUCCCAAGCGUUGUUCGGAUUCACUGGCCGUAAAGGGUGCGUAGGCGGUCGGGUAAGUCUGACGUGAAAUCUUCAAGCUCAACUUGGAAACUGCGUCCGAUACUAUUCGGCUAGAGGAAUGGAGGGGAGACUGGAAUACUUGGUGUAGCAGUGAAAUGCGUAGAUAUCAAGUGGAACACCAGUGGCGAAGGCGAGUCUCUGGACAUUUCCUGACGCUGAGGCACGAAAGCCAGGGGAGCAAACGGG
rnacentral:rRNA from 1 species